AUACGGAGGGUGCAAGCGUUAUCCGGAUUUAUUGGGUUUAAAGGGUGCGCAGGCGGAAAAUUAAGUCAGUGGUGAAAUCCUACAGCUUAACUGUAGAACUGCCAUUGAUACUGAUUUUCUUGAGUGCAGUUGAGGUAGGCGGAAUGUGUAAUGUAGCGGUGAAAUGCUUAGAUAUUACACAGAACACCGAUUGCGUAGGCAGCUUACUAAACUGUUACUGACGCUCAGGCACGAAAGCGUGGGGAGCGAACAGGAUUAGAUACCCCGGUAGUCC
rnacentral:rRNA from 1 species